UACGUAGGGUGCAAGCGUUGUCCGGAAUUAUUGGGCGUAAAGAGCUCGUAGGCGGCUUGUUACGUCGUUCGUGAAAACUUGGGGCUCAACCCCAAGCUUGCGGUCGAUACGGGCAGGCUAGAGUUCGGUAGGGGAGACUGGAAUUCCUGGUGUAGCGGUGAAAUGCGCAGAUAUCAGGAGGAACACCGGUGGCGAAGGCGGGUCUCUGGGCAUCUCCUGACGCUGAGGCGCGAAAGCGUGGGGAGCAAACGGG
rnacentral:rRNA from 1 species